UGGCUCCCCCUGGCGGCGGCCUGGCUGGAGGCGCGCAGUCAGGCGUUCUCCGCGGGCAGCCGGCGGCGGGGCCUUGCCUUAUAGCGCGGGGUCCUCGGCGGCCUGGGUGUCUACUGCCCCUGCUGCUGUCGUAGGCGAGGACGGCUGCUAGUGCGGCUGCUGUUGGUUCGCGGCGGCGGCGGCGGCGGCGGAGGAGGAGGAAGAGGGCGAGGCGACAGGGGAAGAAGGAGGCAGGCGCGGCGGCGGCGGCGGCUUCGCCCGGGGGCGGCGGCGGCGGCGGCGGCGAGGGGGGGGAAGAUGGCGGACGUGCUCAGCGUCCUGCGACAGUACAACAUCCAGAAGAAGGAGAUUGUGGUGAAGGGAGACGAAGUGAUCUUCGGCGAGUUCUCCUGGCCCAAGAAUGUGAAGACCAACUAUGUAGUUUGGGGGACUGGAAAGGAAGGCCAGCCCAGAGAGUAUUACACAUUGGAUUCUAUCUUGUUUCUACUUAAUAAUGUGCACCUUUCUCAUCCUGUUUAUGUCCGACGUGCCGCUACUGAAAAUAUUCCUGUGGUUAGAAGACCUGACCGAAAAGAUCUGCUUGGAUAUCUCAAUGGUGAAGCAUCAACAUCAGCAAGCAUAGACAGAAGUGCCCCUCUAGAAAUAGGUCUUCAGCGAUCUACCCAAGUCAAAAGAGCUGCAGAUGAAGUUUUAGCAGAAGCAAAGAAACCACGAAUUGAGGAUGAAGAGUGUGUGCGUCUUGAUAAAGAAAGAUUGGCUGCUCGUUUGGAGGGUCACAAAGAAGGGAUUGUACAGACUGAGCAGAUCAGGUCUUUGUCUGAAGCUAUGUCAGUGGAAAAAAUUGCUGCAAUCAAAGCCAAAAUUAUGGCUAAGAAAAGAUCUACUAUCAAGACUGAUUUAGAUGAUGAUAUAACUGCCCUCAAACAGAGGAGUUUUGUGGACGCUGAGGUGGAUGUGACACGAGAUAUUGUCAGCAGAGAGAGAGUAUGGAGGACACGAACAACUAUCUUACAGAGCACAGGAAAGAAUUUUUCCAAGAAUAUUUUUGCAAUUCUUCAGUCUGUAAAAGCCAGAGAAGAAGGACGUGCACCUGAACAGCGACCAGCUCCAAAUGCAGCACCUGUGGAUCCUACGUUGCGUACCAAACAGCCUAUCCCAGCUGCCUACAAUAGAUAUGACCAGGAAAGAUUCAAAGGAAAAGAAGAAACGGAAGGCUUCAAAAUCGACACUAUGGGUACCUACCAUGGUAUGACGCUGAAAUCUGUAACGGAGGGUGCAUCAGCCCGUAAGACCCAGACUCCUGCAGCACAGCCAGUACCAAGACCAGUUUCUCAAGCAAGACCUCCCCCAAAUCAGAAGAAAGGAUCUCGAACACCCAUUAUCAUAAUUCCUGCAGCUACCACCUCUUUAAUAACCAUGCUUAAUGCAAAGGACCUUCUACAGGACCUGAAAUUUGUCCCAUCAGAUGAAAAGAAGAAACAAGGCUGCCAACGAGAAAAUGAAACUUUAAUACAGAGAAGGAAAGAUCAGAUGCAACCAGGGGGCACUGCAAUUAGUGUCACAGUUCCUUAUAGAGUAGUAGACCAGCCGCUUAAACUUAUGCCUCAAGACUGGGAUCGGGUUGUAGCAGUUUUUGUGCAGGGUCCUGCAUGGCAGUUCAAAGGCUGGCCAUGGCUUUUGCCUGAUGGAUCACCAGUUGACAUAUUUGCUAAAAUUAAAGCCUUCCAUCUCAAAUAUGAUGAAGUUCGUCUAGAUCCAAACGUUCAGAAAUGGGAUGUAACAGUAUUAGAACUCAGCUAUCACAAACGUCAUUUGGAUAGACCAGUUUUCUUACGGUUCUGGGAAACAUUGGAUAGGUACAUGGUAAAGCAUAAAUCCCACUUGAGAUUCUGAAUUUUACUUGGUUUCCCUUUUUCUGGAGAUCUGGAUUAAGAAGCAUGGAUAUACCUUGACCUAAAGACUGAGACUCAAGCUUUAUGAAUUUAUCAAGAACUUACAAAUGAAGAAGGUCACAGAUCCAUCUUUUAUAAGACCUUAUUUGAUGCUUUAUGCUUCAAAGGGGUGAUGCUUGUCAUCCAUAUAAGCAAACUUUUUGGCUUACAACUAUUUUUUUAAUAUUAGCCUUCUAGUCUGUAACGGAAAUUGUAUAUUUUGAUAGAAGUUUUUUCUCCAUUGGUUAAAUUAGCAUUACUUAAAAUUUGUUUCUUUAGAAAAUAAAUGCAGGUUAUAAAUGUGUGUAUAUUUAGAGGUUAUAAGGCUCUCUAAGCCAUCUUCUGAUUUUUCAUUGCUCUAUAAUUCCUUUUAUUGAAAAUAGUAUGCUAUGAAUGGUAUCAAAUUUUAGUCUCUGGAACUUCCAAAACUAGCAAAGGGAUGUGACUAUUUUGAAUGAAUCAGAAUGUCAGCCUGUAUGUAUACUAUACCUAUACUUACUCUUUAUUUAAAAAAGAAUAAUGAAAAAUCAAGAACAAUUCUUCAGCUUUGAUUGAACUGUUCGGCCUUUUCAAGACUUCUUUACUUACAAUGAAUACAUUGAAUGAAUGUACAUUCUUCUUUCUCACUGACUUUGGUGAUUUUAAAACUUAGAAUGAUAUAUUUCUAUCUGUGCUAUCUUUCCACUUGAAAAAUCUCAGAAGACAGAUUAAAAACAUGAUAGGCUGUAGUACUUUUUGUUUUGGGAGCCAGAGUAUGUUUGGGGGAAAGAAAUGUAUUAGUCCUACUACAGUGUAACUUUAACUUUCUUAUCUUUCUCAUAAGUUCACCUUUGAAUCUUACUUUGUAUGUAUGGUGUAGGUUUUGAGUCUUCUGUUUCUAGGCAUGUUGAUCUUGGAGUUCUUAUCUUCCAUUAUCCCUAAAUAUUGAUAACUCUCCCAGACACCAAAGAACACAUUUGCUUAAUUAAGUGUCUGAACAGAAACAAGAUAAAAACACUGGUAUUUUUAUGUGCGUAUUCAAUAUCGUAUAAAAUAUAAAACCUAUAUUUUAACUUAGUAAAAUAUUUUACUACUUCUCUAGAGUGUUGCAUCCAAGGUACAAUGAAUGAGCAUUUUCCUUGAGUCUUGAUUUCACCUUUUAUUACUUAAAAGCAACUGGAACCUCUACUCCCCUAAAGAGUUUUCACCAUUAGGAUUGUUGCUGAUUGUUCAUCUUGUGUCAUUUUUUUCUCCAUUUUUUCCCCAGUGAUCUCUCUUAGAUGAACAUUUUUUUAGUAAACAUUUAGCUCCUUCUUACGUUAUGCUGACAUUACCUAGCUUCAUUUUGAAAUUUAAUGCUAUCAUAAGAAUGAGAAGCACUUAUUUAUUUUUAAAGUAAUCACAAAAGUCCAUACCAAUAGUGGAUAGAAAAAAGUAUUUAUUCAUGUGGAAUUCACUAUGUUCUUAAGAAAAGCAGUCAGCAUUUUAAAUUAUUAGAUUAUAGGAUAUUUAUAAGGUUUGAACAGAUUGUACCCCCUUCCUUUCUGUGCACCUCUCUUCUUGAAAACAAAAGAACUCAAAUUUGUUCACUUUAGACUUUCUCAUCAUAUAAACUGUUUUCAAAAUGAAUUAAUGUAUUGUAUAAACUUUCUCCAUGAUGAAAUCGUCAAAGACUAGAAUCUGUACUAUUUUAAUGUAAGAUUACUUGUUAAGACUACUACAAGUGGACGAGAACUACCUUUCUAUAAAAAUUUUUAGUAUUUAUACUUAUGUCAUAUAUGAAAUUUACUUGAUACAGAGUGUGGUUAAAAUUGGGAACAUCUACUUUAAACAGGGUUUAUUUUUCUAUCUUGAAUUUGCCUUAUGUAUAUUCAAAGGCUUCUGGAAAUACUGUAAAGGAACAUUAGGAAAAUUACAAAUAUGCUAUGCUGUAUGUAUUUUAAAAUCAAACCCUUAGUAUGUACUUAAUUUUCUUUUUCUUUUUUCAGCAGUUCAGUCCCUCAUUUAGGUCCAUGUAAUUAAUGUAAUAGUCAUUAAUUCCAAAACAAUUUUUUUUCAGCCAGUCAUUCGUUAUCUCAUGACUCCCAAGUCCUACAGCAGCACCUAUCACUGUGCCUUGCACAUAGUAGGCAUUCAGUAAAUAUUUAUAUGCAUGAAUUAAUGAACUUUUCAGUGUGACUGAUUUAUUACAAAAAGUACUUUGACUAGGUCUUGGAGUUUGAAAAUACAGAAAUACAGGGAAUGAAGAGGUACACAUAGAUGUUUAAUGGAAAUGAGGUAUAUACAUUAAUGACCUUGACUUACCAUAAGUUACUGUUAACUGGAGACACCCUUGCUUGUCCCAUUGGUAAAAGAAAACUCCCAUUUCUUUAUUCAUAGGACACUUUUCUGAGUCAGGUAACAUUAAGAAACUUGUAGGUUUCAGUCAGUUAAUUGUUCAACCUUGACUGCACGUUAGAAUCACUUGGGGGACCUUUUAAAUAUUUAUUGCCUGAUUCCUGAUUCUGAUUUAAUUUGUGCUGAGACCUGAUCAUCAGUAUCUUUAAAAAGUUGUUUAGGUAAUUUCAUGUUCAGAAAGGAUUGAGAAUCACUGAUUUAAUUUGUUGUUGAAAACAAUGCCAGUAUUAAAUGUUGUAUUUCCUCAUCUCCCGCCUUCCCUCCCUCCCUCCCUCCCUCCCUUCCAUCCUUCCUUCUCUCCGUUCUGCCCUCCCUCCUUCUCUCCCUUCUUUCCUUCUCCCUGCUUUCCUUCUUUUGUUCUUUCUUUCCUGCUUUUACUUUUCCUCUUGGUGGCCACCCUUUGCACUAGACUGACCCCCUUAUUGAUGGUAUUGGCCUGUAGUUCCACAUAACAAAUUCAAGUCUUAUUUAUUUAAUAUAGGAGUAUUUUGCUGUUUAAUAUUUAAACAAUGUUUAAUAUAUUGCAUUAUAAACUAGUAUUAUAGUUUAUGAUUUGUUUCCCAUGUGUCCUUAUCCUUAUUUUUUUUUUAACAGCAGCAUGAUAACAAUCCAUACAGAAAUAACUAGUUCAUAAUGAGGAAAAUUUCAUAAUAAUUUUUAAGGUAGAAGAACGUAAAGGAUUAAUUUCUUAUCUGCCAUGCAGAAUUAGUUUGCUUAUGAAAGGAAAGAGGCAUACUUUUUAAUUGGUCUGCACAGAAAAGUAAAUUAUUCAUUUAAAUAAAAUUCAUUAUCAAACAUUGAAGGAAAUAUUUUUCCAAAAUAAAAAUUUUUGUGACUCCUAACAAAGUUAAAGUGAUACAUUGUUCUUUUUUGGAGGGUGGGGAGGGAGUAUUUAGUUUCCAUAUUUCUUACUAUAUAACAAUUCCAUUUUAUUGGUAUUAACAGUAGAAAAUGAUGAUAGGAUACACAUUAUGUGGCCAGAAAUAAAAUGCCACUUUGUCAGAUAACAAUUAUCUGAGUCUUAGUUGUUGAACUAAUUAGUUUAUAAAACUUUUUGAGACCAACAGUGUAUUUUAUAAAUAUUAUAAAAGCUGAUCAAAAUUAAAACAUGAAAAAUAAAUUUGAUUACAUGAGCCUUAAAUAUUACUUGACUGAAUUUUUAUUCACUUGGAUUUGAUAGUCAACUGGUUACCCUAACCAUAGUAAAUUAACUUUAGAAAUAAAAAAGUAAAAAUCACUGAAUUUGACUUAAGAACUGGAUUAGGAAUUUUGAAAUGUCAUGUCCUGUAUGUUCUGGCCUAUCCAUUGCCACAUUUGGCUGUAUAGUGAUGCCAGCAUGGUUUCUAUCUGUAUAUGUUGGAAUGAUAACCAAGGAAAAAUUGGAAAUGUAUAAUAGGUGUAUAAAAAUUAUAUUUAGUAAAUGCAUAAUAUGCAAUAAUACUUUCAGGUCAUUCAUCUUUUGGGGCUUAUAUGUAUUAUUUUAGGUAGUGUUUAUUAGAGUGAUCUUGAGAGUUAUAUAUAAAUGUAUGCCAUUUAAAUGAGUAAAGCUAAGGAGAUUAAUUUUAUUGCCAAAAUUCAAAAAGUGAAGUGAUGCUAUGUCAAAUUUAGGUAGGUGAUGUAUCUCUCUGAGAGUUUUGUUUGCUACUGAAUUCCAUUUCUAUCCAGUUUAAGUUUGCUAAAAGCUACUUAACCUCCAAGUUUGGUUAUAUAGUGCUUUAUAUAUAAUGUAGUUCAUUUACAUGGUAUAGGCACUAUAAAUGAUUGUUUACCCCCCAGUUUGUAUAUUUCUCAUGCAAAGUGGGUUCUUCAGUGGAACUUAAAUUUAGGCCCUGUGACCUGAUUAAAUGUUCUACUCAUUCUUACUCCAUUUCAGUGGAUUUUUAAGUUUCAACUUGUAAAUAAGUUUUGGGUAUAUUCCUACCCCCACUUCUGCCCUAGUCUUCAUCCUUCCAACCAAAAACACAUUCAACCAAGAAUACAGAAACUGUAUUGUGGUGUAGGAUAUGGACGAUGACAGUCUUUUCAAAAAGGGAUUUAUGAGAUUUUUCAGGCAUUGUAUUUGUUUUGAAAAUAAACGUAAUGUAAGUUUUCACUUUGAAAACUAAAGAGUUAAGUACAUUUACAGUCUUCUGUUAAUGUGUUAAAUAAUGGAGAGAAUCACAAUUCUUCCUAAAAGUAACAAGCUACAUGCUCUAAUGAGCUUAGUUUGGUUAUGGUCCAACUUACCAAGUCCUUAUUGUUAGAAUGUUAUUUACCAGCAUACACUCUUAAUUCUAUUAUCUUUCAGCAGUUUGGGCACCCUGAUUUUAACAUUUUGUAGUUUGAAAACAAACUGCACUCCGCAUAUAAUCAAAUCAUUAACAACAUCAUGGUGGUAUUGGUGGUGCCAGUAAUAAUGUUUAACUCUUUUGCAACAAAAUUCCUUUAAUGAAGUGUUUAAUGGGCCCUAUUCAAACUUAAUUUCCAUUCAGUUCAUAAGUGCCUACUAAAUAUGUAUUUUAUCCUGCUCUUCUGUUCAUUUGAUCAUCUGCUUUUAGGCAGAUGAGCAUUCACAUAACUAAAAUAGAUACAGCAGGAGUUGUAAAUGCUGUUGGAUUUUUUAAGGCUCAAAGGUGCUAGUAUAUAAGAGCACAUUGCCAAAUAAGCUUUUUUUCUUCUCAUUUUCUAAAACAGUUUACGUUUAUUUUUAAUUAAUGAUCAGUGUUUAUGGUGAGUUGGAAAACGUCCUGUUAAUUUCCUUCAGUGACCAUAAAAAAAAAUUUAAAAAGCAGCUCUAGAGAAGGCUAUGGUGUUGAGUCUGUCAUAAUUAUUUGUAGAUACUUUAUCAUAGAACUGUAGUUUAUAAUUCACCAUCAUCUAGAGAAUAUUGAUUUAUAUUACAUGACUAAUGUAAAUAGGGCUCAGGCCACAUAAGACCGAAGACAUCAGAGGUUUAGUUAAUCACAUUUGAAUAUUUUAUUGGUCUGUGAUUGAUUUGCCAAAAAAAAUCCAAAUGGAAACACAUUGGGUUAUACAGCAUUGACUGUGAUAAAAUAUAAUAAUGUAUACUCACAGAACUUGCCUUCAUGGAGUUUAACAUGUUAUAAAUGUAAAUAUGGUAAUGGCAUCAAUUUCUCUUUUUAAAAUUGUUAAAUAAUGAUGUGUUUUUAUUUAAAAUGGAAUAGUUUGAAAUUUUAUCAAGUUGGUGUAUGUAAUGGUUGGGGAAGAUCAAAUGGGCUUGCUCAUGGCAUAUUCAAUCAUGACAUAACUAAUGUUUAUGGUCAUUUUGACUGUAAAGCAGUUUUAAAGUAUUUGUAUUUUUAUUUACAUGUUUUUAUUUCCUAAUGCACCACUUAGUACAAAAAAGGAAGUGUAAGGGUUACUGAUGAUGAAAUAAAGUGAGGGUGUUAAUGUAGAUUAAAGCAAGUUGAUGUAGGAAUUUGAGGAGAAAGAAGAAAUUAUAUGGGAACUUACAACUCCAUGGGGAAAAAAAUACGUAGUAGGAAUUGGGCAGUGAUGUAUCUUUUGGGGGAUUGGUCAUAAAUUUAAAUGAAACGCAAACUGUGGUGUGAUUUUUUUUUUUUCCAGCAGCAUUUAGGUACUUGAUUCCAGGUGUAGAAAAAGCAAAUAGAUUUUUAACUUUUGAUAGAAGUAGAAACAGACCAGGGAGGUGAAGAUAUUCACAAAGGUGAUGAUUAUAGUACCAGAACAUGGAAUCUAAGCUCUUCAAGGGAUAAAUGAUGGAGAGGAAGUGGUGGAUUGUAUGAAAGUGGUGCUGACCCAUGAACUGAAACCUUCAGUGAAAUGAAGCCAAAAGUGAGCCUAAAAGACAAGAAGGGUAAAGAGAGGACUUCAUAAAGGAACAAAGAAAAACACAUCUCCAGGCUUUAAAGAAUGACUACAAAUAAAUGUUUUCCAAGUGGGACCAUUUAUCUUGAGGAUAUGCAAGGAUCCAAAGAGUAUAUCUCCCAAGUAACCUCGGUUGAGGAACAGGGACAUUAGAACUUUUAAGAACUUCAAACAAAUGACGAAUUAAAGAUCUGUGUUCUGUGAUAGAGUGGGAAUUUGAAAUGUUAAGUGGUUUCAGUUACCCAUGGUCAACAGCUGUCUGGAGGGAGAUGAUCCUCUUUCUGACCUAUUGUCAAGAGGUCAAUAGUAGCCUAACGCUAUGUCACAGUGCCUGUGUCAUUCACUUCACUUCAUCUCAUCAUGUAGACAUUUUGUCAUCUCCCAUCAUCACAAGAAAAGGAAGGGAACUACCCAAGUUGCUGGAGAUGAUGUUUCGGACAAGAUAGAAAAGCGAGCCCCUGGUCCUCAUGGAGCCCACAUCCUUACAGAAUAUCAAAAUUAGACGGAGUCAGUCUGUGACCAUGAUGGAUCAAGGCAAGAACGAGCCCACCCCCAACGAUGUCUGAAUAAAAAACAUGAAUAUGGUCCAUACUACAAGAAAAGUCACGUCCUGGCUGAGAGGAAGAGUUAUGAUGGCAGAGAAGUAGGGGGACCAGGAUUUCCCUCAACCCACAACACGGCAGUAUUGAGGUCAGAACACCUGAACACCCACAAAGUCAGUCUGCAGAGUGACAGAAAAAUGUCCACAGGUGGAGGGAGACAGCUUGGAGGGACUGAGGUGCGUGUAUGCAAAUUGGGGGAGACCAAACAGUGUGGGCACGGAGGGGAGGGAACCCCUUCUGCCAGAGACAAAAGGGAGAGAAAGAGAAGCUGUGGAUUGCAGUAUUGUUAGUACAAGAGAAAAACCUCUCCGGACCCUGGACAGGGGAAUGAGAAGUACAGAGUGUGCCAGUUUCUACUUUGUGAACGGCCUUAGGAGCUGAAGGCUGGAGUUCUCAAAAGUGCGGGACUUUCUCCUGAUCGAGGCCUCUGACCUGACCCCUGGCCUGGGGAGGUGGGGAGCCAGCCCUGGGGCAUAGUAGCCAUCUCAGGGGUGCACUGUGAGCAAACGGUCUCCUGCCUUCAGUACUGUGGGAAGAGGGUAUGUUGCCCCCAACAAGGACGAAAGAGCCUGCAGGCCGCACCAGCCAAUGGGCAGGGCAGAGUGGCACUACCCCGGAACCUGGUCCAUGUGGUGUGGGAUCCUUUAAGACAUCAGGUUCUGAAUCCUCACUGAGGGCCCAGGAGGCGCAGGGGACGGUGCCGCAGGACAAGCCACCUGCCGGUGCCACUCUGUGAGGGCUGCCUCGAGAGUGUGGUGUGAGACGCGUGGUCCGGGGAGGAGAGAUUGGGGUGUGGCCGUCUUUCUCCCCAUCACCAACAGGGUGUGGCUUCAGGGAAGGGACAGCGGCGCCCAGAGGAGGUGGGACCCGCUUACACCAUCCCUGCCUCUCCGUGCCUGGUUACUGCUUAUCUCCUGGAUUGGGACUGACACUGAUCUAACGGGACAGCUUCUCUUCCAGACGUGUGCAGCCACUGGUCCCAGGCACCAACAGAUGACUGUCCACAGGUUUAGUAUUACCACACAACAGAUUACUGUUCUUCAGUAGUAAGAUCUGAAGUCAGGAAGCUGACUUCCUCAGAUCUUGUCUCAUCUGCAUAGCUGAAGAAGGAAUGGUUGUGUGAAUAUCAAUAUGGUAUUGAUAAAUGCCUGAAAAGCCUCUGACAAUGUGUUUUCCAACCAGAAGGUUUGAACUUGAAACUCUCUCACAAAAAGUGAGUAAAACCUCUUUUCUCUCCAAGAGACUUUACUGUAACUACUACCAUGAGACAUUUUGUGAAAAGGGGGAUAAUGUUUUUUUCCUCACUUUUGUAUUUUCCACAUCUCGUAUUCUGCAUGGCACAUAGUAGUGUAUUCAAUAAAUAUUUGUUGAAUUAACAAAAUGUAAAUAUGUUAACUUUUCUCUCCAAUAAACAUUAGCACUACUGUUGGUGAAAGCAGUAUUAACAAGAUAACUUUUAGAUAAUUAUAAAUUGUAAAUGACAGGUGACUAAGUUUCUACUGCCAAAUAUAGAUUAUUUUUGCUUAUAUUAAUAUAUUUUAAAAGAUAACAAAAGUUGUCUCAUAGUGGUCACCUAAGUAAGAUAUUUAGAUUUUGUUAUGAUCUAGUGAUAUAGGGCAAGUAUUCAUAGGAACUAUGAUUUCUAACAAUACUCUUAUUUCUCUACUGAGUAAGCAGGAUGAUCCUGCCAAAAGUUAGUUAGAACUGGUCAUUCUUGACAUGGUAU